ACGGUAGAUGCAGAUGAUAUGGUCGGGUACAUUCUUAACGGCCUUGAUUUUGAUUACAACCCUGUUGUUUCAUCUGUUCUUGGUCGUGCUGACCCCAUUACGUUGAGCGAUCUUCAUGCUCAACUAAUGGCCUAUG